UAGUUCAGCUGGUUAGAAUGCCGCCCUGUCACGGCGGAGGUCGCGGGUUCGAGCCCC
rnacentral:tRNA from 1 species